ACCUCGGUGGUAUAGUGGUGGCACUCGUCCCUGGUAUGGAUGAAACUCGGGUUCGAUUCCAGCCUGAGGCG